AUACGGAGGGUGCGAGCGUUAAUCGGAAUUACUGGGCGUAAAGCGUACGUAGGCGGUUGGUUAAGUUAGAUGUGAAAACCCCGGGCUUAACCUGGGAACUGCAUUUAAAACUGGCGAACUAGAGUUGAGUAGAGGGGAGUGGAAUUUCAGGUGUAGCGGUGAAAUGCGUAGAGAUCUGAAGGAACACCAGUGGCGAAGGCGACUCCCUGGACUCGAACUGACGCUGAGGUACGAAAGCGUGGGUAGCAAACGGGAUUAGAAACCCCGGUAGUCC
rnacentral:rRNA from 1 species